rnacentral:misc_RNA from 1 species
AACGCGAGCUACGAAGGAGUGCGGGUCGCGGCGCGUCGCGAUUCAUCUUCGCGUUUCGCGUCAUUGGGCGUAAUCGCGCGCCCAUCGUCGUCGUCGUCAUCGUUGACGGCGGUUUCAAUCCCUCCUCUCCCCGCGCAGUGGCGCGUAAAGUCUCGUUGAACGACAAUCGUGGGUGAUAACGUCAGCGGGCGCGCUUUUCACGGCGCCGCCGUGCGUUCAACCCGGACCGGAAUCCGCGAUGUGAGCCUCGAGGCCCACGGCGAUAGUCGUGCGACGCGGGAAAGAAGAACGGAUGCGCGUGUCGACGUGCCGGGGUGCUGACGCGGGAUGAGCGCGAGAGAAGUCAUCCUCUUCGGUGGGUCCCCCUGGGGCUUCCGCAUGCACGGCGGAUGCGACACGCAUCAACCCCUGCGCAUCUCCAGGGUGAAUCCGGGAAGCAAGGCGUCCCAGCAGGGGGUGAGAGAGGGCGACCUGAUUAGCAACAUUAACGGAAGGAGCACUCGAGAUUUGACUAACAGCGAAGCGCACGCUUUGCUACGCAACUCCGGGGAGCAGUUGAAGCUUGGUCUCAAUCAGGAAAAUAUUGGCUCGCCAAAAAGAAGGAUUUACAAGAGCAGUCUGCAGGAAAACACCACCGAAAUCCACAACAAAAUAACCACGAGAACCACAACAACCACACGUACACGGACGGAAGCGGAGAAGAGUGGCGCCGAUGACACAAAAGUCGAGCAGAGCUACGCCAAUCAGAACGGUGCUCUGAAGAGCUGCCCGAGCGAACAACGAAGCGACGUUAAGAAAGGACACUGCGAGCCACUGGAUUACGCAACCGACGCGGAGGACUGCGCCGCCGGGAUGCCACAGGGCAACGCGCGCAACCGCUAUCGCGGCCGUAGAAAUCGGCACCGACGGCGGCCGCCGCAGCCACCGGCGAAUCUCGUGGAAUCGUCGCGGAACGACAAGCGGAAGGAGGAAAUUCCGGCGACUUCGCGAAACGAGCGCGACGACGACGACGACGACGACGAUGAUGACAAUGCGAAGACGACGAACGAUACCGUUGCGCGGAAUCGCGGCGGAUCACCGAGUCGCGAAUGCCAAAUCCGGCCCGACGACCGACGCAGAAUCGAGAAGAUCGAGCUGGCGGAAUCGCAAGCCCGGAUAAUCGAGAUCACGACCGUCAGCAGUCUGCCGCUCGAGGCAACGAUCGGCCAUAUCGCCGGAGUGGGUAUCCUGGAGACUGGGAAUGGCGACAGGACGACGAGGGAAUCGACGAUAGUGACGAUAUCGGAGCCGGUGGAAUCGAUACGGUCGCUCGCCGCCUGCAUGAGAAGCGGACUGUCGAAGGGAAAUCGAUUGGAGAUUCAGGAGGUGAACGACAGCGAUGUGGAGGUCGACUGCGGGCCAACGAUCGUUGAAUUUGAAUCCGAGGGCGAAUCCGCGGAGAAGGAUUUUGGGAGGAUGGAAGAACGGGACUCCGUGGAUCGCGAGGGAUCCAAACGGAUAGAUCGAAUGGGAUCGUCGCAGCAAUUCGCGUCGCAGAAAAAGUUUGUUUCGAAACCGGAGGCAGAAUCGCCGGCCUCGAUGUGGGCGACGGUGAUGCCGAAAGAAGUGGAGAGGAAGCUGAGGAACUUCAUCGAGGGUCUUCAAUUGCCGAGCUUCUCCGAAGAGGUGGCCGAGGACGAGGGCAGGACUCUCGAAAAGCUCCCGCGGGACGUCGCGGCGGAGGAAAGCAGAUCCGUCGAGAGAGUAACCGGCUCGUCGCGCCGGAAGACGAGAAAGCGCGCGAUGUCGGCGUCGCAUUACGCUAGCAGUUUUCUCGAUAUUAUACAAGAAGAGGGCGAGAGGCUGUCGGAGGACGAGGCGCAGCACAUCAGAGACUUCAUCAACGAAGAGAUUAGCAAGUAUCGGCGCGAGGACCGCCAUUCCGUCGAAAGUGGAGCGAACGAUGUCGAGGCGAGAACAACCGAUCCCGAGAAGCUUCGGUAUGACAUUAAGAUUCAGAUCGAUACGACGGAAAACGAGGACUUGCGCAGUGAAGCGAUUAAUUGCGAAAAAUGCGAAAAUGUCGAGUCCGAGUCUGCCGAAAAUGUCGCGAGUCCUGAAGCGCAAAUGGCGGAAAUCGCUGAUUCCACGAUCGAAGCGACAAACGAAGAAAUGAACGCAAAAAGUGAUGUAAUAUUUAAUGAAUCUGUAGAAAUUACAACGGCGCAAAGAAACUUGCAAAUUGAGGAUUCUUAUAUUACUAAGAAAAUUGAAAUAGCACCAAACGCUACAGACGACGCUACAGACGACGUUGAUGAAGAAAUAUUAGCAAAUGCGACGGUAAAAAACGAUAUUAAUAUAAGUGAAACAAAAAACAACGAAUUACUUGAAGAAAAGUAUUUAAAAAGUGAUACAUCUAAUGAAUUUGUGAAAAUUAUGACGACGCAAGAAAGUUUAAAAAUUGAGAAUCCUAAUAUUGCCGAGGAAAUUAGCGAGAAAAUAGCGAAAAAUAAUACUGUGAACGACGUUGAUGAAGAAGGAUUAGGGAAUAAAAAAAUGAAGAACAUCGAAAAUAAAGCAACGAUAAAAAGCACGGUAACAAUAAGUGAUGUAAGCGACAUAAAUAAAACAGAAGACAACGAACUGUCGGAGGAAAAGUAUUUGAAAAGUGACAUCAUAUCCAACGCGACGGUAAACGAGAUGAUAACAAUAAGCGAUAUAAAUAAAACAGACGAAAAUAAAUCGUCCGAAAUCGAGAAAUCUACAAAGUCAGUAAAAUGCGAGAAAAAUUCCAUCGAAGCGUCCGCGAUGGAAAAUCGCAACGUGCCGCAAAUGGAAGAUAAAAUUGACUCAUCUUCGAGUUUGUCGCAAAGCGAAGCGCUGAGGAUGAAGCAGCAGCCUCCGCUACCUCCGAGAAGAUCAUCCAGUUUCGACCGCGAACCUCCGAGACCACCGACGCCACCUGAAAUAGACUAUAUUCCGCGUAGCGCAAAGAUUAAUCAGUCGCUCGUUGCGGCGAGCGACGCGCACGAAACCGGGUCGCCGAAUUUACUCGCGCGAAAGCGCGCGAGUCGCGACGUCGAAGCGCCGCGGCGGCCGCGGCUUCCGAAACCUGAAAGCUCCAGUCGGACGAUUGAUGAAAACGCCUCGUCGAUCUCGCGCGAAUCUUCCUCGACUCGUAACUGUACAAACCGAGUCGGAGAAGCGGAUGUCAUUCUGAAAACCGAGAAGUUGGCCGAAGUCGACCGAUCGAUCGCGUCAUCGGGUAUUCGCGACGAUGAUCCGUCAUGUUCGCGCGGCGUCGGUACGCUCGGCGUCGCGCUGGCAGGCACGACGAGCACGGAAAUAACGCGUCGCGAGGAAGGGAAGCCGGCGACGCCCGUUGCACCGGCGGCAUAUGAUCGAAGCGCGUCGUCGAGCCGACGGGAAGUCGAAGUUGAAACGCGCCGGUGUCCUCCGCGUCAGGACGAUUCGAAAAGUUUCGCGACGAAUGAAUCAUCGAAGAGCGAAGAGACAAAUAUUCGUCUGAAUUCCUCGGCGGAAAAUAAGCCAACGAUGGGUUCUUCAGGCAGCAAGAGCAAGGAAAAGUCCAAAAAGGAAAGAAAGAACGAGAAAUCGACGUUCAGCAUUCAUCGCGAGCGAACGUCGGUGAAGAGCGAGACGUCGGAGACGAAGAUAAUAGAGCGACGCGAGGCGAUCUCGAGCGCUAACCAGCUCAACGGUCAUCGGAAUUCCAAGUAUUCAACGUGGGAGUCGAAGUGCGAGGAGAGGCGCGAGGAAAAGCACGAGGAGGAGACGCGCAGUUUGUCGCGACAGAGCGACGAUGUGCAAAAUUCGGAGUCCGACGACGAGGCGAACUUUCGCAGGGCGAGCGUCCCGGCGGAUUCCGAGGGCGACGUUCAAGGACACGACUCGUCUAGCAGCACCACGUCUCUCAGCACCGUGAAACAUCGGCCGUUGGAGGCAUCGUUGACCGACAUCAGCGCGAUCGUCCGAGAGACGAAAGACGAGGAUAAUCCGAAGAGCGAAGCGGAAGAAUUCUUGAAGCGGAAGCUCGCGUUGUCGAAGAAUGCGGAAGAACUCACUGAUGAAAACUUGGAAGGGAAUUUGAAAUCGCCGCGGCCAAUUCCUUACUCGACGUCGGUGGAAAAUCUCCACUACGUGCCAUCGAACGAAGCCGAGAAAGAAACUCGUCCGUCACGUUCAUUGCCUUCUCUGAAGGAGCUCUGCGUGAAAAGAAUCCUGUCGCUGCCGUUUGGACCGCGAGUAAUCGACGAAAUCACCGCACCGCGGCUGAACAUCUUCGAAAAUCUGCGGACCCUGCAGAGGUUUGUGAGUGACGUGCCGGCGACGUGCGCUCAUCGGCCGAGCGAUAACGCCCGAUCAAAACAGCGCGGAGCGAAGAGUGACGAUCAGCGGACGCGCGGACUGACGAGAACGCCGGCAGUGCGCGAGCCGUCGCGUUCUAACGACCUUGAAACCGCUGUUUCGGACCGCGCUAGACGAUCGGCGAGUGAGAUGGAGCGCGAACGAUGGCGCGGUCUCUCCACCGCGGAGGAUCCCAGGCUCCUGGUGUGCCUGUCGCCGUCGCAACAGGCGGCGCAGGUGCGCGCGAGCGCGGACACGCUGCUGGAUCUUCACCGGAAGUUCCUGAACCGGUACAGCUAUCGCGAGGAACAGCCGCAGCGCGUGCCUGUGCCGCAAUACCGAGUCGAGAUCCGUCCCAUCGUCGGCACCGACGGGAACGACGACGCGAUCGCGAAGACACCUGAGCCGCCCGCGCGCGCAACUCACCGGGACACGCUCGAGAGAUCGAGUUGCCGGCUGCUGGAGAUCAUCAAGGAGGAACGGAACGGAUCGCGAAAGACGACCGACGACCAAGUCGCGGACCAAGAACGUCCCGAGGUCGCCCGUUCGAGCGACUGGUCGAGCCUGGCCGGACGCGGCGAUCGCCGUAGCGCCGCCGCGAACGAGCUAUUCCUGGCAGCGACGCGGGGCGAGGAUGGCGAAUCGCGCGCUGAUAAGCCGGCCGGCCAUGUGACCCGGUCCGAUCAGCCGAAGAUUGCGACACGGUCGGCGAGUGAUUCGGAGAGGCCGUUGGCGAAUAAUAUCGCGAGGAGCUCAUACGCACCAGGCAGCGCCAUUAUCGAUCGAUCGACCGACACGACGACCAGCAGGCGGACGCCGCCGACGCUCCGGAGAACAGCCGAUCCCGGCAGACACGUGAAUCCGGCGUUGAUCGACGACAAGUUGGAAGUGCCGCCAUUGCCGAAGCGCACGGUCACGGUCGACCGAUCGUGCAUCGAUACGACGAGCAUCUUCGAUCAGAAUCCGCCGAGGAGUCAUCUGGAGCCGCGGAAGGCUCAUCGCGAAACGGCAGAGAAGCUGAAGCAUGUGGCUGCGGUUGAAAUAAUGGACAAGUUGAAGGAACUGCAGACGGAGACGUCGCGGCGGCUCGACGGCGACAGAAGGAACUCUCUGCCGCAGGAGUGCUUCACUCGGCAGCUCAAGUACAUCGAGUUACUGGAGGAGCAGCUGAAAAAUGUCCUGGAAGCGGAGGAGGAGGAGAGAAAGGCCUUCGAAGAAUUUCAAACGCAUUUUUAUCGAACGAAACAGUGCGACGACGCGAGAAAAUCCUCCCUCACCGACAUCCCCGAGGAAACCUCGAUGAAAACCAGCGCGAAUUUCGAACGCCAAGUGCCGAUUGACACGCGCGAUGAGACGCCGGACGGAAAAUACGCGAAGAACAAGCGGGAGGAGCAUCGAAAUCUCGAGGAGAAUUGUUUCAGGAAGACCCGGCGGAGCGAGCCGGAAUUUCAGAGGGAAUGCUGGCGAGAGAAAUCGCGGAAUGUUGAAGAGGAUCGUGCGGAGACGAUCGAUAAAACGGGAAGCCGGCAGUUUUUGAGGAAGGUGCAUCGCGAGAACGGGGUGCGCGAGGAAUCCGCGGAGAGCAUCGAGCGCGAGGAAUGCCGCGUGAUCACCCAGAAGGGAAACCUAAAGAGAACGCCGGAGAACGGGACGGCGAAAUUCCACGAGGAAAAAAUUAACGAACAUUGCACGGAGACGACGGGGACGCCGAAGGUGUCCACCGAGAAAAUGAAUCAAACGAACUUGCGAAAGAAUGUCGAGGCGACGAGACCGACGACGUUGCCGACGAACGGCGAGGUGUUUCGCCAACGAAUGUACGACGAAUACGUGCACAAGGUGCUGGAGCGGCAGGAGCGGAAGAAUCACAAAGUCGUGAAGAUCAGUUCUCACGAGGACAUCAAGUCGGGUAGGUCGGGCGAUCACAUGAGCGCGAUGGCGAAGGAGUUCAUUGAGAAGGCGCGCAGCCGGCUGGACAAGUUCGGCAUCAAUCUUGACGAGAGCGGCACAGACCACGAGGAGGACGAGGGCGACGUGAUCAACGCCCGAUUCCUGGUCGACGGCAAGGAGCUGCGGGACGCGCGCAAGCUGCCCAAGCAUCUGCAGGAGUUCCUCAAGAUCUCGACGAUGAGCGACGACGAGGGCGGAAGCGGUUGUGAUAUCAUUGCGAAGGGAAGAAGCAAUGAGAGCAAUGAGCUGCUGCACGAGAUUGACAAAGCUUUGAGAAUCGGCAAAGGAUUUCUACUCGAGCAAGAGAACGUUAUGUUCGCCCCUACGUUUAAAGCUUCGUCGGCGAAACCAGGCGUUUGGUCGCCAGGACAGACGCCACUUGCGAAGCAGCCGAGUCCCGAAUUGCGCGCCGCAGAACCGCAGAAGAACGAGCCGAUUCCGGCGGUUUGGACCCCCGCCAACGCUGGCGCGAGCCCCGUCGCCGAGAAGAAAGAGUUUCGUCCUGUGCCAUUCGAGAGUCCUGUGCUGAGCCGGAAGAGGCAGCCGCGGGAAGAGAGUCGAGUGGCGCGAAGUUCAAGGAUGCGCGCUCUCAUACGAGAUUCUGUUCAAGAAGGCGCCUCCGCCUUGGGACAACGAGGAGACGACGAAGGAGGGUACGCGAAGCGCAUACGAGAGCAGCACCGCGCGAAUCGUCAAUUCGCACUCGGCGCCCUCGCAGGGAUUGAACGCGCUCGCGUCCACGCCGCGCUUGCCACGUGCCCAGAAUCCGACUAUCACGCUACUGCAGAAAGCGAGAGAGGGACAAUUGCCAAAAGGCGCGGCUUACUUGGAGAGCGAAUCCGCCGACAAUCGCCUUACGAACGACGAGAGACCGCUGAUUUCUCCGGGAGAAAUAAGAGGGAGGUAUGGAUACGGAAGCAGCAGUGGAUAUUUGAGCGAACCGGAACCGCGCGCAUACUCGGAUCGAUCCGUUACUCUCGAUAGCCGCCGACGGCUGCGCAACAAAGAAAAUGACUUUACCACGGCGACUAUGCCCAGAAAGAAUGGGGCGCUGAAGUACUCGACUGACAUUUAUAAAAAUCAGCCCGGCCGCAUCGAGGACUAU